AACAAUAUUAUUUUCAGAUGAAUUUGUGAAGAAUGAAAGCUCCCGCAGGUCUAAGUAGUUCUAUUAAUUCCUUGACAGGAUCUAUCCGUCCUCUAGAAUCAGUCAAGGUUGUUGUUAGAUGUCGCCCAUUAAACGAGAAAGAGAUUGACGCUGGGCACGAGAGCUGUGUUCAAAUCUACCCAGACCGAGGACUGAUCGAGCUCAGAAACCCUAAACUAGGUCCAACGGAUCCCAUUAAAACCUUCACCUUCGACGCCGUGUACGACUGCAACUCCAAGCAGUAUGAUUUGUACGCAGAAUCAUUCGCACCCUUGGUUGACGCAGUUCUUGACGGCUUUAAUGGGACUAUAUUUGCGUACGGUCAAACUGGCACGGGUAAAACAUACACCAUGGAGGGUAUCCGAUCCGAACCUAAUAACAGAGGCGUUAUUCCUAACUCCUUCGAGCAUAUAUUUAGCCAUAUUUCGAAAUCCGCAAACCAGCAGUAUCUGGUUCGUGCCUCCUACCUCGAAAUUUAUCAAGAGGAGAUUCGAGACCUUCUUUCGAAGAAUCAAGGAAAGCAGCUUCCGCUGAAGGAACGGCCGGAUACCGGGGUUUAUGUCAAGGAUCUCUCAUCAUUCGUCUGUAAGUCAGUCUCAGAAAUAGAGCAUGUGAUGUCCGUCGGUAAUCAAAACCGGUCCGUCGGUCCGACAAACAUGAACGAACAUUCGUCCAGAAGUCACGCCAUCUUCAUCAUCACGAUCGAAUGCAGCCAACUGGACGAUGAAGGAAAUUCGCAUAUUCGAGUCGGAAAACUCAAUCUCGUGGAUUUGGCGGGAAGCGAACGACAGUCGAAGACAGGAGCUCAGGGAGACAGGUUUAAAGAAGCGACUAAAAUCAACCUUAGUUUGUCGGCUCUGGGCAAUGUAAUAUCAGCUUUGAUAGAUGGAAAGUCGACAUAUAUUCCAUACAGAGAUAGCAAACUUACAAGAUUGCUUCAAGACAGUUUAGGAGGAAAUGCCAAAACCGUGAUGGUUGCCAAUUUUGGUCCUGCCAGUUAUAAUUACGAGGAAACUGCCACCACUCUCAGAUACGCUAAUAGAGCAAAGAAUAUUAAGAACAAGCCUAGAGUUAACGAAGACCCUAAAGACGCCUUACUCCGUGAAUUUCAGCAAGAAAUUGCGCGCCUUAAAGCUCAAAUUAAUGAAAAAGGCGGAGAGAAGAGUAAAAAGAAGAGAGUGAAGAAGAAGAAGAAGGUUCCGAAAGAGAAGAAGGAAACCAGGGAAGAGAAUGAAAAUGAAGAUGAACCUAAAUCUGUCGAAGAUUCUGGAGAGUCUGUUUAUGAGGAUGAAUAUGAGGAGGACGGCGAGGCGGAGGGGGCGGAUGAUGAAGAAAUUUCUCUGAAAGAAACGGCGGAGAGACUGGCAACGGAGAAGGAACUCCUAGAAAACGACACAUCAAUGCUGGCGGAGGAAAAGAAUAAAAUCCUCGAGGAAAUGAGGCGGAAGGAGGCGAUGUUGAGCCGUGAGCGGGCGGAGAAAGAAAAAUUGGCGGCUAAGAUUGCCGCCAUGGAGAGUAAACUACUGACCGGAGACGGGAAGACUAUUGUUGAUCAUACCAACGAGCAGCAGCGAGCACUAGAGCAGAGACGAGCUGAAGUUGCAGCAAGACGGAAAACCGAGGUUGAGGUUGCACGAAGGUUGGAAGAGCAGGAGGAGAAGGGAGUUGAACUAGAGAAAACCUACUCCAGUCUCCAGCAGGAGGUGGAGAUUAAAACCAGGAAACUUCGUAAACUGUUCUCUAAACUACAGACAACAAAGCAGGAUAUUGUUGAUGUGACCGAGGAGUAUAACCGUGACCGACGUGACCUUGAGCUGACCCAGGAGGAACUGUUGAAGGAGUUGAAGCUGAAGUAUCUCAUCAUCGAGAAUUUUAUCCCUGCUGAGGAGAAGGAGAAGGUUCUAGCUCGCGCUAGAUUCGACGAGGAUGAAGACUUGUGGAAACUUGGACCCUCUCGUCCACAGUCAGGAACUAUCAGUAAAAGACCUGUAUCGGCGGCCGGCUCACGCCGACCUGUUUCUGAAUAUGCCAGGAUGUUAAGUAGCAUUGGAGGAAACCCGAGAUAUCGAGGAGAAAAUAUUAUGAAACUAAAUCUGGAUCAUCCAGCAAGAACAACACGUGACUAUGAAGGCCCAAGUGUGGCGCCUCGUGUUCAGGCAGCACUCGACGCGGCAAUGAACAACAUCGAGGAAGAUUUGGAUAUCGACGCGCUCGCGAUAACCAACGCGUUUGCUGUAAAAGGCACGCGUAAAGAGAAAAAGAAAGCACGGCCUAAGAGCGGUCGGGACCGACGUGAAAACUAUCCGCAAUCGCGGGGUUUGGUCCCGAAAUGAUCAAAUUUGACUCAUCAGGGAGCCGGCGGCCUGCCAGAGUUCAGAAAUUGGGAAUUCGAAUCCGAUUUUUCGGACUCUGACAGUGUCAGCCUCAAUACCGUCAUAGAUUCUUCAGAGAACCGUCGUUUCAAAUCCAAAACUUGCAAUCAGUCAAUCAAUUCCAAUUUGGCCUUUUUUUGUGUAGUUUGCUUGAUGAGUCCGGUGCACAUGUAUCUGCUUAUUACAAAAAUGUAUUGUAUGCACCGUUUUUUUUUUUUUUACUGAUUGGUCAUAUUUUUUUGACUUUGCAGCGCAUAUCAUUAGUUUAUAGCCAAAUUAUCCACUAAAUUAUUUUGUAAACAUUUUUUCAGUUCUUAAAGGAACUGCCAUUCUAUUUAACGAACUUCUUGUCCUAUUCACAGCGGUACCAUCAUCUUUAAACUCUUUUCUUUGUUGCAGUAUUUCGUUAUUCACUUAAAACACAGAAAUUGCAACGGGAAAUUAUCAAUUUUCUGACCAGAUUAUCUACAUGUUUUUUUGUAGAGACAAAGUUGUAAGAGGUACCGUUGCGAUUCUGACAUUAACUCGUUAAAUUUAGACUCAAGAGUCACUAGGAAUUAUGUCAUAGGCCUUUGAAAUAAAAUCCAGACAGUUUUCCAGGUUUGAAAACCGGUUGUUGAAAUAUUUCGUGGAUUUGCUGGUUCUCUAUUCUAGUUUUUCAAAUUAAAGCAUUAAAGAAAAGAUUAAGUUCCAAAAUCAUCUCUAUUCAGUGUUCAAGUACAGAUUUGUUGUGUUCAUGUACACUGCCGUUGCGCAACGUACUUAAAUGUACUCAAAUGUACUAAAACAUACUAUUAUUUAAUCAAAUGUACUAAUAUUUACUUCGAUGUACUUAAAUGUAUUUAAUUGUACUUUUUAAUAUGUAUAUUGCCUUAAAUCAUGCCGUGAAUUAAGCACCAAAAUUUCCCUUCUCGCAUUUUCUUGUAGGAAAUAGAGUAAAUAUUGGAUAACAACCAAAUACGUACGGCGGGUUAAAAACACUCAAUACGUUAUAUACUAAGCAACUACUGAAUCCUAUUUUUAUCAAGUUAUGUCUUUUUUUAGUGUUUUUUUUUCUUUAAAAAUAUUCUACUUUCACACAUCGUUUGGUCCCAAAUUGAUUUUGUUCUUUACAUGACAAUCUUUUUGAUCACUAUAAAGUGCUUUUUUUAGUACAAAUUCCUGCACCUGAUCUCAUUUAUUUAUUUAUCUAGUCAUCCAAUUGUGAUACUUAUAUUAUUAUUUAUUUUAUUUAUUAACUUGUUCUUAAUUCUGGUUUUCUUUCACUUUUCACAAAUAUUCAUCACUCUCUGUCAAGUUUAAACUUAAAUCUAAGUUUAUUCUAACAUAAAAACCUCUGUGUGUAAAAAAUAGUCCACAAAAUGUAAUAUUUAUCAAAAAUAAUGAAUAUCUUGUCUUAUCUUUAGGUCCAAAAAUUCACUUAAAGCCUCAUUCAAUAAAAUACUCUAAAACUUCCUUUAAAAAUUUGGAUUUAGAAUUUUUUUAUCACACACCCUAAGGAAUACAUGUUAACAAAUCUUCUUUUCCGAUUAUUUUGUUAAUCACAAAAAAAUCAACUUCUUUUAUUGUACAAUGUACAUAUACUUACAUAACAUGUUAUAUGAUUAUGUAACACACACUUAAACCCCUCAGUUGUACAUAGUACAUAUAUACUAACAUAACAUGUUAUAUGAUUAUUUAAAACACACUGAAACCCCUCAGUUCCACUCAUCAAAUAUUAAUUGUACAUUGUACAUAUAUACUUACAUAACAUGUUUAAUGAUUAUGUAACACACACUUAAACCCCUCAGUUCCACUCAUCAAAUAUUAAUUUUCUAGA
rnacentral:misc_RNA from 1 species